rnacentral:rRNA from 1 species
GGGUGCGAUCAUACCAGCACUAAUGCACCGCGUUACGUGCUUGGGCGAGAGUAGUACUAGGAUGGGUGACCUCCUGGGAAGUCCUCGUGUUGCACCCC